rnacentral:rRNA from 1 species
GAUGAACGCUGGCGGCGUGCCUAAUACAUGCAAGUCGAGCGAACGGACGAGAAGCUUGCUUCUCUGAUGUUAGCGGCGGACGGGUGAGUAACACGUGGAUAACCUACCUAUAAGACUGGGAUAACUUCGGGAAACCGGAGCUAAUACCGGAUGAUAUUUUGAACCGCAUGGUUCAAAAGUGAAAGACGGUCUUGCUGUCACGUAUAGAUGGAUCCGCGCUGCAUUAGCUAGUUGGUAAGGUAACGGCUUACCAAGGCAACGAUGCAUAGCCGACCUGAGAGGGUGAUCGGCCACACUGGAACUGAGACACGGUCCAGACUCCUACGGGAGGCAGCAGUAGGGAAUCUUCCGCAAUGGGCGAAAGCCUGACGGAGCAACGCCGCGUGAGUGAUGAAGGUCUUCGGAUCGUAAAACUCUGUUAUUAGGGAAGAACAUAUGUGUAAGUAACUGUGCACAUCUUGACGGUACCUAAUCAGAAAGCCACGGCUAACUACGUG